AUAUAGUGGAAAAUACUAACCAAGUAUUUUUAAUCUCAAACUCGAGAAAUUGAGAAAGUAUAGGAUUUUCUGAAGCUUGAGGAACAAAAUCCGGUCUUGUUAUAUUCCCAACUCUCACGACAAUACCAUAAGCAUUUACAAAAAAAAAAACGAUAAUAUGAAAGAU
rnacentral:sRNA from 1 species